GAUGAACGCUGGCGGCGUGCCUAAUACAUGCAGGUCGAACGAAACUUCUUUAUCACCGAGUGCUUGCACUCACCGAUAAAGAGUUGAGUGGCGAACGGGUGAGUAACACGUGGGCAACCUGCCCAAAAGAGGGGGAUAACACUUGGAAACAGGUGCUAAUACCGCAUAACCAUAGUUACCGCAUGGUAACUAUGUAAAAGGUGGCUAUACUACCGCUUUUGGAUGGGCCCGCGGCGCAUUAGCUAGUUGGUAGGGUAAAGGCUUACCAAGGCAAUGAUGCGUAGCCGAAUUGAGAGGUUGAUCGGCCACAUUGGGACUGAGACACGGCCCAAACUCCUACGGGAGGCAGCAGUAGGGAAUCUUCCACAAUGGGCGAAAGCCUGAUGGAGCAACGCCGCGUGGGUGAAGAAGGUCUUCGGAUCGUAAAACCCUGUUGUUAGAGAAGAAAGUGCGUGAGAGUAACUGUUCACGUUUCGACGGUAUCUAACCAGAAAGCCACGGCUAACUACGUG
rnacentral:rRNA from 1 species